CAGUGGGCGACUGUAGCUGCCUUUAAAACGGGAUCUGCACAGUCGCUCUCUGCGAAGUGACAACAGCGUCCGUUCCUGAAACUUUGUCGUUUUUGUUUGGUAAAAGUUAACACUCGCGUAAACACUGACAGGACACAUACAUAUAUAUGGACUUUAGUUUAUAAAAAAUCAAACUCGGAGAGAGAGAAAUUGUUGUCCUGGAGGGGUUUAUUUUGAAAAAGAAGAGCAAAAAAUCAGAAGGCGAAACUAUACCACCACAAACUGAAGGAAGACUCAGCAACAGGCUUUAUGUGAAUCCAACUACCAUGUCCUCGUAGGUUUUGAAACCGGUAACAACACCAGCAGUACUCACCAUCAGAUAAAAGUACUCAAAAAUAUCUGAAAUUCUAACACGCGCCACCUCCCCCCCACCCGACCUUACAAGGAUGCUGAAAUUCCUCAAGAAAGAAGUCACAUCAGUCAACAAUGCCAAAAGGGUUCGGGAAAGGACAUAAACCAAGAAACAUCUCAGCCACUUUGUUCUGCUAGGUAUUUUCAAAUCUGUAUUCAGCCGCGAGACCCCUCCCACGAAGCGGAGUCCUGGUCCUGGCCCGAGGUUCAGUGAAGACACCGGUCUGGUGGGACCAGUCUGAGAUCAGUCUGGCUCUGGGGGCAGCAGCUGGUCAAGUGGACCUCUGGGCUGGGCCCCAGCUGCCCUCUCCUCCUGCAGGAUGGCUGUAGCUGAGUGACCCUGGGGAUCACAACUUCAGUUCUGUGUCGCCUGGCAUUUCCAGCAAACAUUGAGGGUGUUUUAAGACUUUAUCUUCUCAGAGACAAGGUGAUGAUGAGAUUCAGAAGUAAAGCAUGAAACAUCAAGAACAUUCAGGUUGGAUGAGACUGGAACUAAAGGGUGAAAGACAAAAUAUCUACAGGGAAUCUGCAGGGAAACUUCUUCAUCAGGUGGAGCGAGCUGCCUGAAGAAGUGAAACCAGUAACAAAAAGGAAUGGAAUUUCCAAUUGGGCCAUCUGAUGGUCUGCCAUUAUUUCAGAGCCUGGACAAAACCCAGGAAAGACACCAUAAAUAUUGUGAUUGGGAGAAAGCCAACAGGAAAAAUGCAAUCACCAGCCAACCCCCAUCAAGGUCUGUCAAGAAAGGAGAUCAGACACUUGUUCAACUCUCCGAAGUUCACAUGCAAAGGGUUUCCAGCAAUUACUUUGUCCCACUCUUACCUCAGCCGAGGGUUUGAGACCCGCUCUAGUAACCGGAGAACAAGCCAGUCCGGAGUACGGAUGCAGAGCAGAGGGAGAAUGGAUCUGUCAGAGGCACCAGCUUCCAGCCGAGGUGCUAAACUGAGGCCGAGCCUGCUACCCUCAGGUGGAUAUAAAAGACCCCACAGCUAGUCUGAAGUGGAGAUGGAGGAUGCCCAUUCUAGCACUUAACUCUGCAAGCAUUUUUUCACAUGGUGGGGCAUUGGGAGGUGUUCAAAGGAGUGUUAGUGUCCUUGUGCUCACUCUACACUAACAUGUAGGUUCAGCAAGCAAUUAACAGGGCAAAUGAUCUAUCUGUUGGGUCAUUGCUGGAGGCUUUGAGUGCAAGAGUAGAGAUAUCUUACUGCAGUUAUACAAGGUCUCAGUGGGAACAUGCCUGGAGUAUUGUGUUUAAUUUUGAUUCCCACAUCUAAAUAAAGAUAUGCUUAUUAAUGAAGCAGAGCAGCAAAAUUAGCUCCUGGGAUGAUCUGACGCAUUAGUCAGGAACUUAGAAAAAUGGAAGGGUAUCUAAUUUCUCUGCAUCUGCAUUCAGUUAUUGUUUUACCCUCUUCCACCUCAAUGCGCCAUGCAACUAUUUGAUAAGUAUGAACAGUAUUUCAAGUUCAGAUUUAAUGACCUUCCACCAUAUACAGGUAAAUAAAACAACAUUCCUCUGGACCAACGUGCACAACAUAGUACAUGUACGGUAACUCACACACAACACAGAAAAUAAUAUUACCACAAAAUAAAUGGUAAUAUUUAUCAUUUAUAUUAGCAUAAAAUAUAUUCCAGAAGAUUGACAUUUAGUGUAAAGUUAAAAUGUAAACAGCAUAACAGCAUAAUACUACUGGCAUUUCACACGUGAUGAGAUCUGGGUGAUAGUAGAGAGUGCAAUAGUCCCAUGGACUUGGGGAAGAAGCUGUUUCCCAUCUUAACAGUCCUUGUCCUGAUGCUACGGAACCUCCUGCCUGAUGAUAGGGGGUCAAAGAGAUUGUGGAACGGACGGGAGAUAUCCUGGACAAUGCUUGUUAAGGAACUCACAAGCUUUUCACUGUAUCUUGACAUAUGUGACAGUUAUAAACUGAUUCCAUUUCCAAUUCUAAUAAACAAGACCAGGUAAGAUGGACAAAUUUCCUCCCCAACAGAGUCUCAGUAAACCAGAUGUAUUCGUCAUUAAUCCAAUUGGUUCAUUACUGGCAGCAGUCCCUGUUUACCCCAGACAUGAGGAUGCUCUCUAUGAUGGCAGUGUAGAAUUGCACUAGUUUUUUGAUAGUUUUAUACUUUAUUCUGCAUUGUAAUUGCCUUGCCUUAUUCCAGUGAAAUGCACUGUGCUACAAAUUGAUCUGUAUGAACAAACUUUUCAUUGUAUCUUGUUACAUGUGAUAACAAUAAACUAAUUCCAA